CCUACGGGUGGCAGCAGUGGGGGAUAUUGCACAAUGGGGGGAACCCUGAUGCAGCGACGCCGCGUGAGUGAAGAAGCGUUUCGGUGUGUAAAGCUCUGUCAGCAGGGAAGAAAAUGACGGUACCUGAUGAAGAAGCCCCGGCUAACUACGUGCCAGCAGCCGCGGUAAUACGUAGGGGGCAAGCGUUAUCCGGAUUUACUGGGUGUAAAGGGGGCGCAGACGGCGCUGCAAGCCUGGAGUGAAAGGCCGGGGCUGAACCCCGGGACUGCUUUUGGAACUGUGUGGCUGGAGUGCAGGAGGGGCAGGCGGAAUUCCUGGUGUAGCGGUGAAAUGCGUAGAUAUUAGGAGGAACACCAGUGGCGAAGGCGGCCUGCUGGACUGCAACUGACGUUGAGGCGCGAAAGCGUGGGGAGCAAACAGGAUUAGAUACCCUAGUAGUC
rnacentral:rRNA from 1 species